rnacentral:rRNA from 1 species
GACGAACGCUGGCGGCGUGCCUAAUACAUGCAAGUAGAACGCUGAAGGAGGAGCUUGCUUCUCUGGAUGAGUUGCGAACGGGUGAGUAACGCGUAGGUAACCUGCCUGGUAGCGGGGGAUAACUAUUGGAAACGAUAGCUAAUACCGCAUAAGAGUAGAUGUUGCAUGACAUUUGCUUAAAAGGUGCAAUUGCAUCACUACCAGAUGGACCUGCGUUGUAUUAGCUAGUUGGUGAGGUAACGGCUCACCAAGGCGAAGAUACAUAGCCGACCUGAGAGGGUGAUCGGCCACACUGGGACUGAGACCCGGCCCAGACUCCUACGGGAGGCAGCAGUAGGGAAUCUUCGGGAAUGGACGGAAGUCUGACCGAGCAACGCCGCGUGAGUGAAGAAGGUUUUCGGAUCGUAAAGCUCUGUUGUAAGGGAAGAACGAGUGUGAGAGUGGAAAGUUCACACUGUGACGGUAUCUUACCAGAAAGGGACGGCUAACUACGUG